UACAGAGGGUGCAAGCGUUAAUCGGAAUUACUGGGCGUAAAGCGUGCGUAGACGGUUGCGUAAGUCAGAUGUGAAAGCCCCGGGCUCAACCUGGGAAUUGCAUUUGAGACUGCGUAGCUAGGGUGCGGAAGAGGGAAGCGGAAUUUCCGGUGUAGCGGUGAAAUGCGUAGAUAUCUGGAGGAACACCGGUGGCGAAGGCGGCGUCCUGGACCAACACUGACACUGAUGAGCGAAAGCCAGGGGAGACAAACGGG
rnacentral:rRNA from 1 species